CCUACGGUAGGCAGCAGUGGGGGAUAUUGCACAAUGGGGGGAACCCUGAUGCAGCGACGCCGCGUGGGUGAAGGAGUGCUUCGGCAUGUAAAGCCCUAUCGGCAGGGAAGAAGCACGACGGUACCUGACUACGAAGCCCCGGCUAACUCCGUGCCAGCAGCCGCGGUAAUACGGAGGAUGCGAGUUUUAUCCGGAGUUAUUGGGUUUAAAGGGUGCGUAGGCGGAACAUUAAAUCAGCGGUAAAAUCAAGGGGCUCAACCCCUUGAAGCCGUUGAAACUGGUGAUCUUGAGUGGGCGAGAAGCAUGCGGAAUGCGUGGUGUAGCGGUGAAAUGCAUAGAUAUCACGCAGAACUCCGAUUGCGAAGGCAGCAUACCGGCGCCCGACUGACGCUGAGGCACGAAAGCGUGGGGAUCGAACAGGAUUAGAUACCCCGGUAGUC
rnacentral:rRNA from 1 species